GACGAACGCUGGCGGCGUGCUUAACACAUGCAAGUCGAACGGAAAGGCCCUGCUUUUGUGGGGUGCUCGAGUGGCGAACGGGUGAGUAACACGUGAGUAACCUGCCCUUGACUUUGGGAUAACUUCAGGAAACUGGGGCUAAUACCGGAUAGGAGCUCCUGCUGCAUGGUGGGGGUUGGAAAGUUUCGGCGGUUGGGGAUGGACUCGCGGCUUAUCAGCUUGUUGGUGGGGUAGUGGCUUACCAAGGCUUUGACGGGUAGCCGGCCUGAGAGGGUGACCGGCCACAUGGGGACUGAGAUACGGCCCAGACUCCUACGGGAGGCAGCAGUGGGGAAUAUUGCACAAUGGGCGGAAGCCUGAGGCAGCAACGCCGCGUGCGGGAGGACGGCCUUCGGGUUGUAAACCGCUUUCGCCUGUGACGAAGCGUGAGUGACGGGAAUGGGGAAAGAAGCACCGGCUAACUACGU
rnacentral:rRNA from 1 species